AGCGAACGUUUGCGGCGGGCCUAACACAUGCAAGUCGAACGCACUAGCAAUAGUGAGUGGCGCACGGGUGCGUAACACGUGGGUAAUCAACCCUUUAGCUUGGGAUAACGACUUGAAAGGGUCGCUAAUACCGGAUACGGCGAGAGAGGCUUCGGCAUUUCUCGAGAAAGCCUCGCAAGGGGCACUGAAGGACGAGCCUGCGGCCCAUCAGCUAGUUGGUGAGGUAAGAGCUCACCAAGGCGAAGACGGGUAGCUGGUCUGAGAGGAUGAUCAGCCACACUGGAACUGAGACACGGUCCAGACUCCUACGGGAGGCAGCAGUGGGGAAUAUUGCGCAAUGGGCGAAAGCCUGACGCAGCCACGCCGCGUGAGCGAUGAAGGCCUUCGGGUCGUAAAGCUCUGUGGGGAGAGACGAAGAAAGACCGGUGAAGAGCGGCCGUGACGGUAGUCUCCUUA
rnacentral:rRNA from 1 species